rnacentral:tRNA from 1 species
GGAGGGUAUAGCUCAGUGGUAGAGCGUGUGCUUAGCAUGCACAAGGUCCUGGGUUCAAGCCCCAGUACCUCCA